rnacentral:rRNA from 1 species
AGUGAACGCUGGCGGUAGGCCUAACACAUGCAAGUCGAACGGCAGCACAGUAAGAGCUUGCUCUUACGGGUGGCGAGUGGCGGACGGGUGAGGAAUACAUCGGAAUCUACUUUUUCGUGGGGGCUAACGUAGGGAAACUUACGCUAAUACCGCAUACGACCUACGGGUGAAAGCAGGGGAUCUUCGGACCUUGCGCGAUUGAAUGAGCCGAUGUCGGAUUAGCUAGUUUGCGGGGUAAAGGCCCACCAAGGCGACGAUCCGUAGCUGGUCUGAGAGGAUCAUCAGCCACACUGGAACUGAGACACGGUACAGACUCCUACGGGAGGCAGCAGUGGGGAAUAUUGGACAAUGGGCGCAAGCCUGAUCCAGCCAUACCGCGUGGGUGAAGAAGGCCUUCGGGUUGUAAAGCCCUUUUGUUGGGAAAGAAAAGCAGCAGGUUAAUACCCCGCUGUUCUGACGGUACCCAAAGAAUAAGCACCGGCUAACUUCGUG